rnacentral:rRNA from 1 species
AUUGAACGCUGGCGGAAUGCUUUACACAUGCAAGUCGAACGGCAGCACGGGGGCAACCCUGGUGGCGAGUGGCGAACGGGUGAGUAAUACAUCGGAACGUGCCCAGUCGUGGGGGAUAACGUAGCGAAAGUUACGCUAAUACCGCAUACGAUCUACGGAUGAAGGCGGGGGACCGUAAGGCCUCGCGCGAUUGGAGCGGCCGAUGUCAGAUUAGGUAGUUGGUGAGGUAAAGGCUCACCAAGCCGACGAUCUGUAGCUGGUCUGAGAGGACGACCAGCAACACUGGGACUGAGACACGGCCCAGACUCCUACGGGAGGCAGCAGUGGGGAAUUUUGGACAAUGGGCGCAAGCCUGAUCCAGCCAUUCCGCGUGCAGGACGAAGGCCUUCGGGUUGUAAACUGCUUUUGUACGGAACGAAAAGGCUCUGGUUAAUACCUGGGGCUCAUGACGGUACCGUAAGAAUAAGCACCGGCUAACUACGUGCCAGCCGCCGCGGUAA